rnacentral:rRNA from 1 species
CCUACGGGUGGCUGCAGUGGGGAAUUUUGGACAAUGGGGGCAACCCUGAUCCAGCCAUUCCGCGUGAGUGAAGAAGGCCUUCGGGUUGUAAAGCUCUUUCGGCAGGAACGAAACGGCCCUAGUUAAUACCUGGGGCUAAUGACGGUACCUGAAGAAGAAGCACCGGCUAACUACGUGCCAGCAGCCGCGGUAAUACGUAGGGUGCGAGCGUUAAUCGGAGUUACUGGGGGUAAAGCGUGAAGAGGGAUGUGAAAUCCCCGGGCUUAACCUGGGAACUGCGUUUGUGACUGCAAGACUCGAGUACGGCAGAGGGGGGUGGAAUUCCACGUGUAGCAGUGAAAUGCGUAGAGAUGUGGAGGAACACCGAUGGCGAAGGCAGCCCCCUGGGCUAGUACUGACGCUCAUGCACGAAAGCGUGGGGAGCAAACAGGAUUAGAUACCCGUGUAGUC